UACAGAGGGUGCGAGCGUUGUCCGGAAUCACUGGGCGUAAAGGGCGCGUAGGUGGCGACCCAAGUCCGUGGUGAAAGCUCGUCGCUUAACGACGAGUCGGCCACGGAGACUGGGUGGCUCGAGCACUGUAGGGGCAGAUGGAAUUCCGGGUGUAGCGGUGGAAUGCGUAGAGAUCCGGAGGAAGACCGGUGGCGAAGGCGGUCUGCUGGGCAGUUUCUGACACUGAGGCGCGACAGCGUGGGGAGCAACAGG
rnacentral:rRNA from 1 species